CCUGCCAAAAGGUCUGACAGCUCCUUGCCCUAAGAACACAUUUAAACCAUCCGACACUCCAUUAGAUCAUGGCCAGGAAGAGGACAGCACCUCUCUAGGUGGGGUGGAGGAGAAGUGUACGAUUUAGAAAAGUGGGGAUUUCUUUAGAAGCACGGAUGAGAAACUCGGCCAUUACGCACAAAGCUUUUCUCCCAUUUGCUCCUUAACCUGAAAUACACGUAAAGACGAAACUCGGUCGCUUUUCGUUUUCAAAAUGGACUAUACUGCUGAGAAAAAAAUCACUGACGAGUGGAAAGGACUUGGUUAGUUGCAGGGAAACGAACGGGGAAGCUUUGAGGUCUGUGCCAUGACGUCUGGAGGAGCGGCGCGUAUUCCGUCUGUUCUGAGACAACGACGGACAUCUGGAAAGCACGCAGGCCGAUCCUGCUACCAACAAUAUUUAUAACGCAACUGUCGUAGAAGUAUUUCCAUUGACUGGCGGAGAGAUGCAAAUGUACACCCGAACUCGAGAUAAAACACUACCAAAUGAA